UGAACGCUGGCGGUAGGCCUAACACAUGCACAUCGCACGGCAGCACAGUAAGAGCUUGCUCUUACGGGUGGCGAGUGGCGGACGGGUGAGGAAUACAUCGGAAUCUACUUUUUCGUGGGGGAUAACGUAGGGAAACUUACGCUAAUACCGCAUACGACCUACGGGUGAAAGCAGGGGAUCUUCGGACCUUGCGCGAUUGAAUGAGCCGAUGUCGGAUUAGCUAGUUGGCGGGGUAAAGGCCCACCAAGGCGACGAUCCGUAGCUGGUCUGAGAGGAUGAUCAGCCACACUGGAACUGAGACACGGUCCAGACUCCUACGGGAGGCAGCAGUGGGGAAUAUUGGACAAUGGGCGCAAGCCUGAUCCAGCCAUACCGCGUGGGUGAAGAAGGCCUUCGGGUUGUAAAGCCCUUUUGUUGGGAAAGAAAAGCAGCAGGUUAAUACCCCGCUGUUCUGACGGUACCCAAAGAAUAAGCACCGGCUAACUUCGUG
rnacentral:rRNA from 1 species